rnacentral:rRNA from 1 species
AUUGAACGCUGGCGGCAGGCCUAACACAUGCAAGUCGAGCGGCAGCGGGGGGGAGCUUGCUUCCUCGCCGGCGAGCGGCGGACGGGUGAGUAAUGUCUGGGAAACUGCCCGAUGGAGGGGGAUAACUACUGGAAACGGUAGCUAAUACCGCAUAACGUCUACGGACCAAAGUGGGGGACCUUCGGGCCUCACACCAUCGGAUGUGCCCAGAUGGGAUUAGCUGGUAGGUGGGGUAAUGGCUCACCUAGGCGACGAUCCCUAGCUGGUCUGAGAGGAUGACCAGCCACACUGGAACUGAGACACGGUCCAGACUCCUACGGGAGGCAGCAGUGGGGAAUAUUGCACAAUGGGCGCAAGCCUGAUGCAGCCAUGCCGCGUGUGUGAAGAAGGCCUUCGGGUUGUAAAGUACUUUCAGCGGGGAGGAAGGGAGUGAGGUUAAUAACCUCAUUCAUUGACGUUACCCGCAGAAGAAGCACCGGCUAACUCCGUGCCAGCAGCCGCAG